rnacentral:rRNA from 1 species
AUUGAACGCUGGCGGCAGGCUUAACACAUGCAAGUCGAGCGGGGGAAGGUAGCUUGCUACUGGACCUAGCGGCGGACGGGUGAGUAAUGCUUAGGAAUCUGCCUAUUAGUGGGGGACAACAUCUCGAAAGGGAUGCUAAUACCGCAUACGUCCUACGGGAGAAAGCAGGGGAUCUUCGGACCUUGCGCUAAUAGAUGAGCCUAAGUCGGAUUAGCUAGUUGGGGGGGUAAAGGCCUACCAAGGCGACGAUCUGUAGCGGGUCUGAGAGGAUGAACCGCCACACUGGGACUGAGAAACGGCCAAGACUCCUACGGGAUGCAGCAGUGGGGAAUAUUGGACAAUGGGGGGAACCCUGAUCCAGCCAUGCCGCGUGUGUGAAGAAGGCCUUAUGGUUGUAAAGCACUUUAAGCGAGGAGGAGGCUACUUUAGUUAAUACCUAGAGAUAGUGGACGUUACUCGCAGAAUAAGCACCGGCUAACUCUGUGCCAGCAGCCGCCGUAA